rnacentral:lncRNA from 1 species
UGCAUACAUUAAAGAUGAUUUUAGCUCUCUCAACACAUAAUAUCUUCUGUUUUAGGGUAAUAAGGAACAGUUGGAUGGUAUGAGGGGAGAACAGCAGCCCAGUGCUUUAUGGGAUACUAGAGGAACCAGAGAAGGAGGUGAACUUGACCAAGGAGAAGGGAAGGAAACUGACAACAACUCUGGGAACCCGAAACCUCAACCGGAAGAGAUGGCUAACGGCAGGUCUUUGGGAAGAGAGGGUAGUGUUUCACCAAGACAUCUGACAAGAAGUCCAAGAAGGUCCCCUUCUUCAAGGCGUAAGAAAGAGCAGGUGAGCUUUUGUCUUGAUAAGGUAAACCUCCAAGUGUUCGUUUAAGGGUUUGUUUA